rnacentral:lncRNA from 1 species
UCUCUCCACUAAGUCAGACAUGCAACAAACCAGUUCUGACAAUUCUCCACUUUCCCUGCUUUCUUCUCUUUUUCCUAUCACAGAGGAAAUUCCCUACUUCACCUCUCCCUGGGCUCAGAGAGUACGCAGGGAAAAGACUGUCAAUGAAUUUAUCCUUGCAGAGGUGCCAGGCAACAUCCACCAGAUCUGUCCAUGUCUACAGGCAGCUUAAAAGCAGAGGCUGUUUCUCAGGCAGCAGCCCUAGCUCUCAACCCUCAACACCUGCCCACUCUAGGCCAAGUCCCAGCUGCUGCUGCAGCAGCGUUGACAGCAAAUACAACUUUCCGUUGCUUCCUGUUGAGCAACUGGGAAAAGACGGAAGCAAGAAGAGGACCCUGGCAUCAGACGUCAGCACUCUGGAAAUGGGUUUUUACUGGGGACGGAAAGAAAGAAAUUGCUGAAAUGGAAGGAAUUAUCAUUUCUAGAGUCAUCUCUGGAUAACAAAUUGCGGAGGCCUAAAUAUCCACAGAUUAUUCUAUCUGAGUUUAUCUUGUUGCGACAGAUCUGCAUGCUGUAAUCAAUCAUGCUGCGUAUCCAUAAAACAGCUUGAUAGUACACAUGUAUUCUCCUCAAAAGAAAGUUGUAACAUUUACACAUAAUAACAUUGGGCUGCAGGCUUUGCCUGACGUAUGCUCAAUAUCAUCUGAUGUUUUAUUGGAUCCCACACAAACUUUUGCCUAAUACAGUCGUUUCUACAGAGAAAAGUUAAUUGAAAGUCUUGAUUAUAAUAAAGAAAAAAAAUUUUAAAAGACAGGGAAUUGUGACAACUACUCUGGGGGCUGCAGAGAGGCCAAGGUGGGUGGAACAUUGCGGGAAAAGGACAAGGGUGGGUUUGAAGACCUCCACUUGCUGGCUGUUGGCUCUGGAACAGGACAGUUCAGCUGUCCAGAUCUCAGCUGCCUCACCUGUGAAAUAUUUGGCAUUACCAAAUGCUAAGGUGUAAAUCAUACAGAGAAAGUGAGAUGGGUGGAAGAGGAUGGAGAGAUCACGGGAAGGGAUUCCUGGGCAGGAAAUAGGCAUAAUUAGCCAGUGUGACAAAGCACACAGAAGACCACUUUGUCUGACUCAGUGUGGGUUUGGGUAGUGGUAAAAGAGUUUGAAGAGGAGCUUAGAGCUAUUUCUGAGGACUGUCAUUAUAGGUCACAGUUGUACUCUGUUCAUUUCUCUCGCCACACUCACUAAAAUCUGUACAAAAG